rnacentral:rRNA from 1 species
UAGGGAAUCUUCGGCAAUGGACGAAAAGUCUGACCGAGCAACGCCGCGUGAGUGAAGAAGGUUUUCGGAUCGUAAAACUCUGUUGGUAGAGAAGAACGUUGGUGAGAGUGGAAAGCUCAUCAAGUGACGGUAACCACCAGAAAGGGACGGCUAACUACGUACCAG